UUCUGUGUUUACAAAGUUCUCUCUUCUCAAACUCUUUCCCCUCCAGCAAAAUCGAAGCUUGAAAUCGAUUACUGCAAAAUCAAAGCAAAUCUUCUGGAAAUCGAAGCAUGCCACAAAAAUCGAAGUCAAACCCCUAGAAUCAGAAGCCCGUCGCCGCCGAAGCCAAGCCCUAGAAAUCUCAGUUCGUUUCUCUCCGCCGCCGCCCGCCGUCUCCUCCCGCCCAACCGCAGGUCUGUUUCUAAAUACACACUACCUUUCAAAAGUUCUUAUUUUAGGCUGAGCAAUGCCCCUAAUAGUGAUUAUUAGAUUCCUGAUAUAAAAGUUGAGGAAUUGUGCAUAUGCAACCUAAGAUUAUGUGUGUUAGUUAUUUGGGAAUUUCUUCUUUAUUAAUUUCUUGGUAAUUUUUAUUUCCUGGUCCUUGGAAAACUUUGUCAGUAUUUAGUUUCCAGAUCCACACUGUUGUUAAAUAAAUUCAUUACAUAUCAACUGAGAAAAAGUAAAAGAAGCUGAAAAAUGGCACUCCCUCUGUCCCAACUUGAGCGUUACCAUUUGACAUUUUUAUUAUGAUUUUUUGAUGGCACUUAAAUUUUAUUCAAAAGGUAUUUCUUUAUUAUAAUAUCAUGAUAAACUUGUGAGUAUAUACUUUUUAAGAGGGCAAAUUUAAGUCUUCUUACAAAAAAACUCACAUCAUGUUUGGUCUGACACUUUAAAAUGAGAUGGUCUUGAUCUGAUUGUUCUGCUUUACAUUAUUUGUUAAUAUUAAAGGACACUGGAAAUAAGGGUUUUAUUAGUGUUUGUUAUAGCAUCUCGCCAUCUUGGGAUUUCUGGGGAAAGGAAGCUGCAGUUCAACAAUGUGUGAUAUUUGCAGUUAUUUGCUAUUUGCAGUGUAUCUUGUACUUUGUCUUUCAUGGACUCUAUACCUCAUGUGGUUCCUGACUCCUUCUCUUGGGGUUGGGUUUGAAUUGAUUUUACAAUAGCAUAAACCUAUGUACAACAGAAUAUUAAAUUUCCUUUUUCUUCACUAAUGUUGUGUAUAAAACCCUUCACUCCAUAUCCCUUGUGUACUAUUACUCUAAGCUUUUGUAUUAUAUUUGUCAACUGGAAUUCUUUUGAUAGUUCUGAUUUCAUUAUUUGUUUUCUUCAUGUUUGCCAUGCAUAAUCCUUCCUUGCCCUAUUCCUUUGUUUGCAAAUAAUCACUUUAAAGUCAUUUAUAUGAUUGUUGAAUCUUCUUUUUACCCUAUUGAA
rnacentral:lncRNA from 1 species